CAGGCUUAACACAUGCAAGUCGAGGGGCAGCAUGGUCUUAGCUUGCUAAGGCCGAUGGCGACCGGCGCACGGGUGAGUAACACGUAUCCAACCUGCCGUCUACUCUUGGACAGCCUUCUGAAAGGAAGAUUAAUACAAGAUGGCAUCAUGAGUCCGCAUGUUCACAUGAUUAAAGGUAUUCCGGUAGACGAUGGGGAUGCGUUCCAUUAGAUAGUAGGCGGGGUAACGGCCCACCUAGUCUUCGAUGGAUAGGGGUUCUGAGAGGAAGGUCCCCCACAUUGGAACUGAGACACGGUCCAAACUCCUACGGGAGGCAGCAGUGAGGAAUAUUGGUCAAUGGGCGAGAGCCUGAACCAGCCAAGUAGCGUGAAGGAUGACUGCCCUAUGGGUUGUAAACUUCUUUUAUAAAGGAAUAAAGUCGGGUAUGGAUACCCGUUUGCAUGUACUUUAUGAAUAAGGAUCGGCUAACUCCGUGCCAGCAGCCGCGGUAAUACGGAGGAUCCGAGCGUUAUCCGGAUUUAUUGGGUUUAAAGGGAGCGUAGAUGGAUGUUUAAGUCAGUUGUGAAAGUUUGCGGCUCAACCGUAAAAUUGCAGUUGAUACUGGAUAUCUUGAGUGCAGUUGAGGCAGGCGGAAUUCGUGGUGUAGCGGUGAAAUGCUUAGAUAUCACGAAGAACUCCGAUUGCGAAGGCAGCCUGCUAAGCUGCAACUGACAUUGAGGCUCGAAAGUGUGGGUAUCAAACAGGAUUAGAUACCCUGGUAGUCCACACGGUAAACGAUGAAUACUCGCUGUUUGCGAUAUACUGCAAGCGGCCAAGCGAAAGCGUUAAGUAUUCCACCUGGGGAGUACGCCGGCAACGGUGAAACUCAAAGGAAUUGACGGGGGCCCGCACAAGCGGAGGAACAUGUGGUUUAAUUCGAUGAUACGCGAGGAACCUUACCCGGGCUUAAAUUGCAGAUGAAUUACGGUGAAAGCCGUAAGCCGCAAGGCAUCUGUGAAGGUGCUGCAUGGUUGUCGUCAGCUCGUGCCGUGAGGUGUCGGCUUAAGUGCCAUAACGAGCGCAACCCUUGUUGUUAGUUACUAACAGGUCAUGCUGAGGACUCUGACAAGACUGCCAUCGUAAGAUGUGAGGAAGGUGGGGAUGACGUCAAAUCAGCACGGCCCUUACGUCCGGGGCUACACACGUGUUACAAUGGGGGGUACAGAGGGCCGCUACCACGCGAGUGGAUGCCAAUCCCCAAAACCUCUCUCAGUUCGGACUGGAGUCUGCAACCCGACUCCACGAAGCUGGAUUCGCUAGUAAUCGCGCAUCAGCCACGGCGCGGUGAAUACGUUCCCGGGCCUUGUACACACCGCCCGUCAAGCCAUGGGAGCCGGGGGUACCUGAAGUGCGUAACCGUGAGGAGCGCCCUAGGGUAAAACUGGUGACUGGGGCUA
rnacentral:rRNA from 1 species